GGAGAGAUGGCUCAGAGGUUAAGAGCACUGGCUCCUCUCCAGAGGACCCGGGUUCAAUUCCCAGCUCCC
rnacentral:tRNA from 1 species